AGAGAGAAGCCUCUAGCGAAAACUAUGGCACCCUGGUCUAUUCACACAUAUGUUUACAAAAAUACUAAAUACCUUGCUGUGUUUUAUUAUUUAUAUUUACUUUUUAUAGUUAAAAUAUUUCAACUAUCUAUCUAUCGCUAUUUAUCGCUUGCAAGUAACGAGUUUAAGGGGAUUGACAACCCUCUUACCCACGUUGGGUUCAAGUGUGUGCUCUUUUGUGUGUAGGCGCUGAAGAUGAGAAAUUGUGUAGUCCUCCUAUUGGUUCGAUAACAUUGGUUCUCGCUAAAAAAAUACUUAUCUAUACUGUGAUGCAUCAUACCCUUCUUUUGGAAGAAAAAACCCAACGCAGAUUACAAGUAUCAUUUGGCUACGUGUGGAUUGAUGUUUUAAUCUCACCUCUUAUCAACGUGGUAAAAUUAUCUCACACCAUCACACUUAAACAACUUUGUGUAUGAACAUCAAAAUGAAAAAACUUACAACACGAUAAGUUUUUUGAAUAACGAGAUAAAGCUAGUGUUCGAAGGAAAUUUCAAACAACUAAAAUGCACACAUGAAAAUGUUUGUACAGUCCACAUGUACAGUCCACUAGCAAGAUAUUGAUCUACUUGUGUGCAUAUAACAAUUCCAACACAAACGUCAUGUGAAACAGUGAGAUAAAGCUAGUGCUCAAAGAAAACGUCAAACAUUCGAUCAUGCGUGAAGAAUUUGACAAAAAAUCAACUAAACUAAUAAGCACACAUGAACACAUUUCUAUAGUGCACUUGGGAGAUAUGGUGCUACUCAACUACGACCGUCCAAACAAAAAACUUACAACACCAAAGUUGUGUGAAACAGCAAGAUAAAGCUACUCACCAAAGAAAACUUUAAAUGGUCAACCUUGUGCAAUAAAUUUGACCAAAUUCUUCUAAAAGGCUCUAAAUGUAAUAUGAAAUUGAAGAACUUCACAAAAUUAAAAACGUUCAUCUGAAUGAAACACAACGUCGAUGUGCAUCUUUUUGUGUAGAGAUUAUCACAAAUCAAAAUAUCGUUUUAUAAAUUAGAAGGAAUUAUGUGAAGUAGGUUAAGCAAGUUAACACAACAAUAACACAUGGAAACCUAUGUACCACAUUGAAAGGUAAGAGCCAACGCGUGUGUUCGGUGGAGCCUUUUUUUGAAACGGGGCAAAAGAAUUGCCUUUAUAUUGAUAUAGAAGGAGCAAAAACAAGGGGGGCUUAGCCAGAAAAAGAAAAAAGGUACAAUCACGAAGAGGUAAAAGCUCAGUCCAUAAGUUCCGCAAGGAUUUUUCCUCCCGCUAAGAUCCAAGCCUUCCCUACCUGACGGAUCUUGCGCAUGACCUCCGAAGGCAUCGAGGACUUGUUGUUGAAGACCCUCUCUGAUGGGGUCAUAGUCCUAGGGUAGGGUCAUAGGCCUGCCAUGUAGGUCCUACCCAAGGACCACCCCUCACAAAGGACAAGGCCCUUAGUCAGCCCCGACUGAAUUAAGGAGUACCCAUCAUCCAGUCGGUAACAGGUCCUCGACCAUCCAGUCGGAGACUAGCAUUCGGAGGACACCAAGCUAACCGACUGGAUACACUCGGUACAUCGUAACCUCUCUGGAGGGAAACGGUCGCACGUUUCCGGGUGCAUUUAUUAGCAUUUAGAGCGUACGUUACCUGUAACGUACGCAUUCAAUCCCCACUACUCCACCCCUGUACCGGAACCGUUGUGGAGGGCAGCGCACUCUAUAUAAGCCACCCUCCCCCAAUGGUAGAGGGGUUAGCAAUUCAUUGUAUUCCCUAUUCCACUCGACAACAAAGCUCCCUGAGCACUGAGACGUAGGGUUAUUACCUCCACCGCAGAGGGGCCCGAACUCAUACAACCUCGCCGUAGCUGGGACUCUGCCCAUCCUUUUCGUACCCUACACAUCUACUGUCAGGCUUAUACCCACGACAGUUGGCGCCCACCGUGGGGCAGGCGUCUAAGCGACUUCCGGCGAGUUUGCGACUACUUCCUUUCGUCAUGUCGUCCGGUGGAGAUUCAAGCAUGGGUCACCAGAUCUUCUUUGGCGCUCUCUCCUUCAUCGUCGACGAUUCGGCGUGGCUUCGGGAUGCGCCCCUCGACGUCGAGACGCUUCCCCAUUGCGGGGCUACGCACUUCCGUGCCGGCGCCCGCGGCAUUCUUCUUCUCCAACAGUCGGCUCCGGUGUCGACCUACACCGCCGUCACGCGCCGCGUCAAGCGGUCCCGCCGUCCGCGGCUCCAGCGUUGGGUGCAACACGCCCAUGUGCACCAGAACGCAUCUUCACAAGUGGCGGUUCUAGAGUCAGUUGUGGUUGCCCCGCUGUCCCAGCGCUCGGGCUCGGUUCCGACUGAGUUUCCUUCCGAGUUCGCGGGUCACGGGCCUACAGCAGAAGUACACAUGGCCAAUUCCCAUGAAGAUCCCCAUCAAGCUGGCCGGAAACGAGCACGAGAUCGGCGAAGCGUCCGGCGCGCGUCGUCCACCUCGCCGUUCUGCUAGUCGGCACACUCGGCGGAGCAACGUGGAGCUGUUCCGCACACCCCUCCUCAACUUGGCUGCAGCUGCCAAGAUAGCCGAUUCCCUCCAGCCGACUGAUUCAGAGGCUGGUAGAGGGAUCCAGCAGAUCCGAGCCCUGUUGCACACGGCGCAGCAGCAGAAUUCGGCGGUCUCCCAGUCGCACAACAGGAUCUAUAAUAGUUAUGUUCAUGCGAAUACGCAUCGGUCGGUUCACAGCCCAGGUUCCCAUCAGCGGCACACCGGAGGCAGCCGUUCCAUAAAUCACGAAGAUCGCCGCCGUUCGCGCACCCCUCCACGGGGUGGGCCCUACGGGCCCUGACAUCAUGAUGUUCGGCGUUCAGUCGGUGACACUUACGACCCAAGGCCCGACGCAAGAGGGCAUAUCACCCAGCGGAGGGUCGAUAGGGGUCGGGCCCACCGCGAUGGUUGCGAUAUCGACCGUCCGAGUGGAAGCAGGGCCACCGUUUCUGGUCCCGAGUGUUUCAGUCGAGCCAUCCGUUCGGCUGACAUCCCUCCCAACUUCCGAUUGGCGACGGGAAUUAGCAAGUUCACAGGAGAGUCCAAGCCAGAAACGUGGCUGGAUGACUACCGAGUGGCAGUCCAGAUCGAGGGAGGGGACGACCAUGUCGCCAUGAAGCACCUCCCUCUGAUGCUCGACGGCUCGGCGCGAGCGUGGCUGAACCAGUUGGCCCCCUCAAGCAUCUACAGUUGGGAAGAUCUGGCCCGAGUGUUCAUCAGGACCUUCAAAGGGACGUGCAAGCGCCCUGUUGGCCUUGUGGAGCUCCAGCACUGCGUCCAGAAGCAGAAUGAGCCUCUGCGUGACUUCAUCCAGCGCUGGACAAUUCUCUAUCACACGGUGGAGAACGUCACCGAGCAUCAAGCAGUCUGCACCUUCAAGGCAGGUGUGCGGUACAGGGAUCUGUACUUGAAGUUCGGCCGAACAGGCGACAUCUCCAUGAGCAAGAUCAUGGAGAUAGCAGCUCGCUACGCAAAUGGCGAAGAAGAGGACCGCAUCCGAAGCGGCAAGCACAAAACAGUCGCUGAUGGCGAUGGGGGCAACACUCGAAAGCAGAAGCAGAAAGCUCCGACCGCUCCGCAAGUAGAAGCUGCAGCCGUAACCAAUGCCAAGUUCAAGGGCAAAGAAGGCUUAGUUCACCCCCAAGAAGAAGCAGUUCAAUAACCCCAUCCUGGACCAGCCAUGUCCGGUUCAUACGAAGAUGGAUGAAGAAGGCAACCCCAUAUAUGCGAAGCAUACCACUCGACAGUGUCGCCUCCUGAUCCAGGGGUUCAGCGAAGGGCAACCGAGUGAGAAGGACCAUGAAUAGGAUGAGGAGGAUAAGGAGGAUCCGUUCCCCCAAGUCCAUGCAACCCUGAUGAUCUUUGCUGACGUCAAGAGCAAGAGCCGACUGAAGCUGGUGAACAGAGAGGUGAACAUGGCCACCCCUACCAACCCCAAGUUCCUCAAAUGGUCUCAGACUGCGAUCACCUUCGACUAGUCGGAUCAUCCGGCACAUGUACCCACCCCGGGAAGACAGGCCCUGGUCGUCGACCCAGUGGUAGAAGGAGUCCGACUGCGCAAAGUCCUCAUGGAUGGCGGCAGCGGCUUGAACAUCAUGUACGCCGACACCCUCAAGGGGAUGGGCAUCCCGAUGUCCAAACUCAGCGAGAGCAGCAUGCAGUUCCACGGAGUCGUCCCUGGACGGAAGGCCUAAUCACUCGGCCAGAUCGCGUUGGACGUCAUUUUCGGCUCCGACAAGAACUUCCACUAGGAAAAGCUGACGUUCGAAGUGGUUGACUUCCAGAGCGCUUAUCACGCAAUUCUGGGUCGCCCAGCGUAUGCGCACUUCAUGGCCCGUCCAUGUUACGUAUACCUGAAGCUGAAGAUGCCAGGCCCGAAGGGUGUGAUCACCAUCACAGGCAAUCAGCGGCGAGCUGAAGAGUGUCUGCAGCAGGGAUCAAGAAUCGCCGACUAGCAGAUGGCCGUCCUCGAGCUGGACGAGUACAAGAAAACAGUCGACCCCGCCGACCUGAUGCGCUCGAAGAAGCCAGCUUCAGAGUCUGCAUUUCAGUCCACGGGAGAGACGAAGAAGGUCAGCAUCCACCCGACGGACGCCACUGUUGUCCCGACGAACAUCUCCACCACCCUCGAUCCUAAAUAGGAAGCCGAGCUCACCCAAUUCCUCCGUGAGAACUGGGACAUCUUCGCAUGGAAACCCUCCGACAUGCUAGGUGUACCCAGGGAGUUGGCUGAGCACCGACUGCACGUGGAUUCCACGGCUCGGCCUGUCCGAGAGCGCCUGCGCCGGUCCGCCGCGCACAAGAGGAAGGCAAUCGGGGAAGAGGUGGCCAAGCUGCUGGCAGCCAACUUCAUUCGCGAGGUUCACCACUCCGAGUGGCUCGCCAAAAUGUUGUCAUGGUGCCCAAGAAGGACAAGUCGCUCCGAAUGUGCAUCGACUUCAAGCAUCUCAAUAAGGUCUGCCCGAAAGACCAUUUUCCGCUCCCCCGCAUAGAUCAAAUUGUCGAUUCGACUGCUGGUUGCGAGCGUGUGUCAUUUCUUGAUGCCUACUCGGGCUAUCAUCAGAUCCGUCUGUAUGGUCCCGAUGAGUUAAAAACAGCCUUCAUCACCCCAUUCGGUUGCUUCUGCUACAUCACUAUGCCGUUCGGUCUGAAGAAUGCAGGAGCUACCUUUAUGUGCAUGAUCCAAAAAUGUCUCCUCGAUCAGAUCGGUCGGAAUGUGGAGGCGUAUAUGGAUGAUAUCGUAGUCAAGUCACACAAAGGUUCCGACCUGCUGACUGACUUGGCAGAAACAUUCGCCAACCUUCGUAGGUACGAUAUCAAACUCAACCCCGCCAAAUGUUCAUUCGGCGUUCCCAGCGGAAAGUUACUCAGUUUCUUCGUUUCCGAACGAGGGAUCGAUGUCAACCCCGAAAAGAUCGGGACCAUCGUCCGAAUGGAGAGGCCGGUCAGAAUACACGAUGUUCAACGGCUCACAGGUUGCCUAGCGGCUUUGAGCAGGUUCAUCAGUCGACUCGGCGAAAAAGCACUUCCUCUGUACCGACUCAUGAAGAAAUCAGAUACUUUCGAGUGGACAGAUGAAGCCCAAGUCGCAUUCGACGACCUCAAAGUCCUACUUUCCACCAAGCCGGUUCUUACUGCUCCGCUCAGUAAAGAGCCCCUUCUUCUGUAUAUCGCGGCUACAAAUCAAGUCGUCGGUACUGUUCUUAUAGUCGAACGAGAAGAAGAAGGCAAAGCAUACAAAGUUCAGCGGCCAGUGUACUACAUCUCCGAAGUCCUGACUCCUUCCAAGCAGAGGUAUCCCCACUAUCAAAAACUUAUCUACGGGAUUUACAUGACUGCGAAGAAGGUGGCCCAUUAUUUCCAAGAACACUCGGUGUCUGUCGUUUCUGAUGCUCCAUUGUUGGAAAUUCUCCACAAUCGAGAUGCGUUAGGCCGAGUGGCGAAGUGGGCGAUGGAGAUGCUGUACUGCGAUAUCAAGUUCGAGGCCAAGAAAGCUAUUAAGUCUCAAGCUCUGGCUGACUUCAUAGCAGAAUGGAUAGAACAACAGCAACCGACCCACAUCUGCUCGGCCCAUUCGACAAUGUUCUUCGAUGGGUCCAAGAUGUUGAAUGGCUCCGGCGCUGGCGUUGUGAUCAUAUCACCAAAGGGUGACAAGCUCAAGUACGCGCUACAGAUACACUUCGAUUCCUCCAACAACGAGGCAGAGUAUGGAGCUCUCCUCUAUGGGUUGUGUAUGGCCAUCUCACUCGGCGUCCGUCGCCUGAUGGUCUAUGGUGAUUCGGAUUUGGUGGUCAAUCAAGUGAUGAAAGAGUGGGACGUCAGAAACCCCACCAUGACUACAUACUGCAAUGCAGUGAGGAAGCUUGAGAAGAAGUUUGAAGGUCUAGAACUUCACCAUGUUCCAAGACUGAAGAACCAAGCAGCUGAUGAGUUAGCAAAACUCGGAUCCACUCGGAGACCAGUCCCGAGUGACGUCUGCCUCGAGCACCUCCACCUCCCCUUAGUCAAAGAAGAUCCUUUCACAGAGGAGCCGGUACAACCAAAGAGUUCUACGGAUCCGACUGAAGUCGAUGUUCCUGCUGUGGUUGAUCUGGUCAUGGAGAUUCUUGCCGUCAUCCCCGAUUGGACUGUGCCGAUCGUUGCAUAUAUUCUGAGGCAAGAACUACCAGAAGACGAAGUCCAGGCCAGGCAGAUAGUCCGCAGGUCGAAGUCAUUCACUGUCAUUGAUGGCCAAUUGUAUAAAGAAAGUAUCUCAGGCGUUCUUCAACGAUGCAUCUCCCAGAGGAGGGGCAGCUGAUUCUGGAGGAUAUUCACUCGGGGACCUGCGGUCAUCAUGCUUCUUCGAGAGCAAUCGUCGCCAAGGCAUUCAGGGCUGGUUUCUUCUGGCUGCAGGCUAACGAGAUGGCUAAAGAUAUGGUUGACCGAUGUGAGGGCUGCCAGUUCUACUCCAACAAAUCCCACAAGCCGACGUCUGCGUUGAAGACGAUCCCUCUUGUGUGGCCGUUUGCAGUGUGGGAUUAGAUACAGUUGGCCCAUUCAAGACAGGCCAAGGUGGAUACACACAUCUGUUGGUGGCAGUCGACAAGUUCACGAAAUGUAUCGAAGCGAAGCCCAUCAAGAAGCUCGACGCCUCAACAUCCGUCAAGUUUGUAAGGGACAUCAUCUUCAGAUUCGGUGUACCUCACAGCAUAAUCACGGACAACGGGACAAACUUUGACUCGGACAGAUUCAAAGGUUUCUGUACAAGCAAAGGCAUCCGAGUGGAUUUUGCUUCCGUAGCGCAUCCUCAGUCCAAUGGACAAGCAGAGCGGGCAAACGGACAUAUUUUGCAAGGUUUGAAGCCCUGACUCCUGCGAGAGAUAGGACAUGCCGCUGGCGCUUGGGUUACCGAGCUACCUUCAGUGCUUUGGGGACUUCGCACAACCCCGAACAGAUCUAUAGGGCGAUCACCGUUCUUCCUCGUUUAUCGAGCAGAAGCGGUCCUUCCGAGUGACUUGCUUCACAAUGCGCCACGAGUCGAACUCUUCUCCGAAGCCGAAGCAGAACAAGCAAGGCAAGACGGAGUGGAUCUCCUGGAGGAGGAGCGCGAGAUGGCACUAACUCGCUCGACCAUUUAUCAACAAAAUUUGCGGCGUUUUCAUGCACGCCACGUCAGAAGUCGCACGUUCCAAGCAGGCGACCUGGUGCUCCGAGUGGAUUAGCAAAGACCUCACAAGUUGGCUCCGGCCUGGGAAGGACCCUUCAUCAUCUCCAAGGUGCUGAACAACGGAGCAUACAGACUCUACAACAUCGAGAGGGAGACAGACGAGCCGCGUGCAUGGAACGGAGAUCUCUUGAAGCUCUUCUACACGUGACGUCGACUGAAGCAAUGUAAAGAACAAGUAUUGGUGAAAUAAUAUAAAGCAGAUUGAGUUUUUUGCAGGUUCAAAGUUCUUCCGCGGUCGCAGACUCCGGUCUCAAAAAAAACUUAGCUGCGAUCCAGAAUCGCCUAAGUAUUAACUUUCUCCCAGUGUGCACUUCACGUCACACUCGGGGGCUUAGCUGCGAUCUAGAAUCGCCUAAGUAUUAACUUUCUUCGAGUGUGCACUUAACGUCACACUCGGGGACUUAGCUGCGAUCCAGAAUCGCCUAAGUAUUAACCUUCUCCGGGUGUGCACUUAACGUCACACUCGGGGACUUAGGGAAUUCCACGGACCCUCAAUGAGGUUCAUGCGGAUGUCAAAACAUCUGACAUGUUCCGAAUGUUUGCCUUUGGCUUCACCAAGAAACGCCAAACGAAAACUCGAGUCAACAUUGCAACAGAAGAGCAAAAGAUUCGAUUCAAAGUUCAACCAAAGAUAGUAGUUCGGUGUGGAUCAAGCUUACCCACACCGAACCACGAAUGUGACGGCCAACAGCAGUGGCCAAAGUUUCUUACAGAUCAACACUCGGCAUACCGAGGAUAAAAGUGUUUUUACGCUUCAUCUGGAUUAACACCAGGACUGGAGGGCUCUACGAACGUGUCCAGAUCAAUACCGUCGACGAUGCGGGUAGCACUUUCAAGGAAGGUUUCCAUAAAGUCUUCAAAUCGAAGUUUCUUCGUGUUAGCCACCUUCAACGUCUUCAACUCCUCCUCGCGCACCUCCUUGCAAUGGACUCGGACCAGAGAUAGAGCAACAUCUGCACCACAACGAGCUGCAGAUUUCUUCCACGACUGCACUCGGUUCGGAAUCUCCUCCAGACGGGUCAUCAGGUUCUCCAUCUCCUGCCGCGACUCAUCUUCUGGCCAAAGCUCCUUGUCGAUUCGGCCGACGACUUCUCUCAGUCGACCGAUGAAAGGACCAACUUUGCCCACGCGGAUGUGCGCACGGAGCAGAUCCCGAUUGGCGUCCUCGCCGAGUGGAACGUUCUCGAGAAUCGACCGCUCUACAUCAGCCGCUUCAGCUUCAGCGUCAAAGCAAAAAUCUGCGACAACAGGACAAGCACACAAUAAGUGUCGAGUGUGACGCGCAUAACACAACCACUCGGAAAGAGAAAGACUUACCAGCCAGACGCGUCAUCAUCUGCCGAGCCGAGUCGCUGACGUAUUUCUCCUGUGCUCUGCACCGUUUGUUCAACACGUCCAUCUGACCCAUCAGCGCAGUCCUCUGUUUCCCCAUCUUUUCCACUUCCUCAGUCAACACCUUGUUCGUUUCACGCGCCUGCUCCAAUGACUUCUCUCGUCCCUCCAGAGCAUCCUUCAUGCCAGUCAUUGCAAGCAGUGCCGCAUCAAGCUCACCAGCUAACUGAUUCUUCUCCGCCCUGAGAGUCUCAUAGGUUGUUCCCAUUUCACAAGUUUUCUGCCAGCAAACACCAAGGGACACUCAGAAAAUCCAACAACAGAAGUUUAAGUUCUUCAGACCCCUGCCGACGCAAGCAGUCGACAGCGGCCUCGGGGACUACACCCACUGGGUUCACUAAGAGUGACCCCACUGGCAUGCAACUCAAGCAGGCCCGCCCUAUUGAGAUGCAUGUUACCACCUACGCCUACGAGGCCAAUACUACCCGACCUGAGUACAAAUUACUCUCGGGGACUCUUACAGUAAGUGCACUCCGAGUGCCACAACUACGCGCACUCGGUCAUGUUAUUUACAGAUCUGACCAAAGCAAAGACAAUAUGUAUAAAGACAACUGCCGGUGCAAGCACUCGAUAGAAGUCUCGGGGACUACACCCACUGGGUUCACUCAGAGUGAACCCAUUGCGAACAACAGAUGCUAUCCAAAAACACCCAGUGGGUUACAAGAUAAAAGUAAAUACUUACUAGCCCACUUACUCGGAUAUCAUCCCGCAGCUCUAGGCUCCGCUGGUACAAGGACGCGACGGAGUCGUAGGCCCUCUUGGCCUCCCCAGCCAUCAGCUCCGCCUGCACCAUGGCUCCCUUGGCCCCUCCCACCUGCUCCUCCGGGAGACGCUGGAUGUUGAACUCGACAUUCGACGAGCCUGGCAUCGUCGGAAGCUCCUGAGGCAUCCCGAGGUCCGCUCCAGUCGGCACCUCAACCACCAGCGCCGGUUCAGUCGGCGGCAGCGCCUCAGUCGGCGGCACGUUGGCGGCGAGAGCAGCAACAGGCGGAGCGGCCUCAAGAACGGGCUCCGCAGCCUGUUCAGCUCUCCCCUGAUCGCCCUCGUCCACGCAAAUCGCCCCUGAUAGACCGAACGACGCAAGAUCUCAGAAAAAAAAGAGGCAGAACCUAUGAUAGAAUAAAACACUCGAAGUCACUACAACGCACCUGGCUGGGACGAGACGACGUUGUCCGUGUCCAUGGGGUCAUCUUCUUGGCGCGCCGGAGAGGUGGCAGAAGUAGCAACUCUGUCGAGUGAAAUCCGUUCGACCAAUGAACAAGAAUUCACUCGGAUAUCAGAAGAAAUUAGAGGAUCGAUACACUUACGUGGAGGUGACGGGGACAGCAACCCUCAUCCGCGGCAGAGUCUUCCGAGGUUUGGACCCACUCGGUUUGGCCGCCUUGGAAGACUGACCCGCAGGCUCAGCGGCAGCAUCCCUGGCCCUUUGGGUGCUCCGAGCACUCGGGACCACCAGGGCAGUGGGCGGAGCACUCGAAGAUGCAGGAGGGGCCGAGGGAACGGCAGGCUCGUGUCGGCGCUUGGUCCGAUGCUCUGUUUGCGGAGGCGACGAGUCCUGCUCUUCGUCUUCCUCCUCUUCCUCGCUAGUCUCUUCCACCGACUCCCCGUUGUCGGAGACAUAUUCAGCGCUCUCCACGCUGCCCUCCUGGCUGCCUUCCUCCUCCUCGGCCGGGUUCCCGUUCGAGACGGGAGAAAACCAGUUGGUCCACUCCUGCAUAAAAUUCAGUCGGCGACAUCAGACGUCACACAGAGAUUCAAGCAAACGAUAAGAUUAAGACAGUUAGGAGCACUCGACAAGUGACACUCACCUGAUUCGGAGGAGGAUUAUCCGCGCAGAAGGGCUUCACUCGCCGAGAUCCUUUGGGAUUCUCGCAGGGGCCUGUGAUCUGGAGCACCCACGAGGUCACCCUCUCCUCAGUCACGCCCACGACGUUGGUCCGAGUGGAAUCCUCGGGCCCCGUAUAAUGCCACAUGGCGUGGUCGCGAGCCUGCAGGGGUUGGAUACGCCGACCGAGGAAGACCUCCAGCAAGUCUAUGCCAGUGACCCCCCCUCCUGACGACAUCUAUGAGCGCCCCGACCAGAGGCUGGAUGUCGUUCUUCUCCGCCCUCGUGAGCGCGAGUUGCUUAGGUGGGGUGGGCCGAUCUAAGCUAAAGGGAGGCAGCCCUGUCGAAGCAUUCGGGCAGGCGAUAUCCUGGCAGUAGAACCACGUCGACUGCCAGUUCAUGACCGGCUUACUUAACUGAAGAGCAGGAUAACUACUCCGACUCUUUUUGUGGAAACCUAAGCCCCCGCAGAGCUGGAGGAGAUGUGUCUUAUCAUCCGACUGACUAAGUCGUUUGAUGGUUUGGGAUAUGGCGGAAAAGAUGUGUUUGAACAAACCCCAAUGGGGAGGGCAGCCGAUGAAACACUCGCACAAAACUGUAAAGGCAGAAAGAUGGGCGAUGGCAUUCGGAGGAAAAUGGUGAAGUUGGGCCCCGAAGUGAUUCAUGAUGCCCUUGAAGAAAGGAUGCGGGGGCAAAGAAAAACCUCGGUGGACGUGGAUGAGCAGCAGGACGCGCUCCCCCUCCCGAGGCGCUGGCUCGACCUCGUUCUCCGCCGGCAGCUUCCAGGACUCGUGCACGAUCAUCCCGUGCUCCACCAGCUGCAGCAGAUCCCCCUCCGUCACCGUGGAGGGGAGGAAGUCGCCCUGGAUCCAUCCCGCCGGCAGCGGCCGCUGCCGCCGCUGAGCAGGCGCCGCCGUCUUCCCCUUCUUCUUCCUCGCCUCCAUCUUGUUGGUCUGGCCCUUGGUCAUGGCGGCAGCUGCGAGCCGUCGGGAGGAAGGAGAAGGGAUGAGUAUAGGAGCGCUGGAGGUGGCGAGAAGGGCGAAGCAGGCGAGAGCAAGGGAUUCGGCGAGCAUAACGGAGAAGCCUCGCCGCCGAGAUUUAAGUAGGGUUUCGACUGGGUCGCUGGCAGGUGGCCCCAAAACCUUAUCCCCCCGACCCACCGCGGUGAUAUUAGUGGAGAGGUUGAAGGCGCGAGAAUCAGGCGUCAGGCGCUACUCGAGCGCAAUGGCGUCAUCCCCGCUGUGCGCCCGAAAACCGAAAUUUGAGAUCCCGGAAAAUCCGCCGCUGUCAGUUGACCGGUCGCGUCAAAAGAUGCCACAGAAGCACUCGGCUUCCGACAGUCUGUUUCGCGAGUACUUCCACUCGGAUCGUUGGUCAGAAGAGAUAAAAUGGAAUGAGGAAAGCAACGCCCAAGCCAAAUCUGUUCCAGUCGGAUCCAAACUUCAAGCAACGCUUCGUCGUUCCAACCCCAAUCCAUUCGGGGACUAAUGAUGGGGUCAUAGUCCUAGUGUAGGGUCAUAGGCCUGCCAUGUAGGUCCUACCCAAGGACCACCCCUCACAAAGGACAAGGCCCUUAGUCAGCCCCGACUGAAUUAAGGAGUCCCCAUCAUCCAGUCGGUAACAGGUCCUCGACCAUCCAGUCGGAGACUAGCAUUCGGAGGACACCAAGCUAACCGACUGGAUACACUCGGUACAUCGUAACCUCUCUGGAGGGAAACGGUCGCACAUUUCCGGGUGCAUUUAUUAGCAUUUAGAGCAUAUGUUACCUGUAACGUACGCAUCCAAUCCCCACUACUCCACCCCUGUACCGGAACCGUUGUGGAGGGCAGCGCACUCUAUAUAAGCCACCCUCCCCCACUGGUAGAGGGGUUAGCAAUUCAUUGCAUUCCCUAUUCCACUCGACAACAAAGCUCCCUGAGCACUGAGACGUAGGGUUAUUACCUCCACCGCAGAGGGGCCCGAACUCAUACAACCUCGCCGUAGCUGGGACUCUGCCCAUCCUUUUCGUACCCUACACAUCUACUGUCAGGCUUAUACCCACGACACUCUCAUUUCCUUCCUUCCAAAUGUCCCAAGCGAUGAGAAUAAUGGCGGUUUUCAGUCCUUUUUGCGGCCGCUUGGACCGACUAGAAAUGGUUGAUUCAAGAUUUCCAUGCGGGCCUAACUGAGUGGUGCUUUAAGAAAUGUGUUAUGAGGGUUCAAAACUGCUCACAUAAACCAAUGGUUAGAAGUAAUGCAACCUACCAACUCACCCUAUGGCUACGUCAUGGAUAUGCAGGGUAUGAAAUCAGUCGCUAACAUUAAUUUUAUUAUGGAAAAAACUUUUAAUCUAUUCAUCAAACGUCAUGGUAGUACAAAGGACACCAGAAGUAACACUAUAGACCACCUAGUGACGAUUACAAGCGCUGAAGCGAGCCAAAUGUGUGUUGUUGUCAUUGCUCUUCCUCGUGAGACCCGGACAAACCAUGUUUUAGUACACAAUCGGAAAGUGAUCGUGUUAGAGCAUCUACAACCGGACCCAUCAAACCCUCCUCAAACACCCGGGCAGGUCGUCCGCUCAUGAAAAUGUGACCCCAAACUGGCCUCUCAAUCAAGCCUCAAACGCCCAGGCUGACCGGCACCCCCCCCCCAUUUCCAACCCAAAUAUGGGGCGGAUAUGGGGGUGCCCGGGCACGCCCGCCACGUCGGCCUAGCGGCCUGGCCCCACGCGGACUCGACGGGAAACCUGAUGGUCUAACGGGGGCGUCGGCCGUCGGCGCGGUUUGAACGCCGCAUGGCGCCGCUCCGGCUCCCCGCUCGAGGUCGGGCCCGGCUAUUUAAGCCGGCCAAUGUUCUCAGCCCUCGCUCAUCCGCCCCUUCCUAUCUCCGCCGCCACACGAGUCCGUUCGCCUCCUCUCGCACUUCCCUCUCCGUAAGGAUGGUCCGACGGCUCAUCACCACCUACACACAGUUCACUCCAGAGCGGCGCAUGCAAGUCGAGCAGAGAUGCAAGCUCGCCGUGCCGCUCGCAUCGUUGCGGGUCUUCCUCCGAACUCACCGAAGAUGGAGGCGGAGUAGGAGGAGUCGGAGGCCAUGAAGG
rnacentral:lncRNA from 1 species